rnacentral:rRNA from 1 species
UACGUAGGGUGCAAGCGUUAAUCGGAAUUACUGGGCGUAAAGCGUGCGCAGGCGGUUAUGCAAGACAGAUGUGAAAUCCCCGGGCUUAACCUGGGAACCGCAUUUGUGACUGCAUAGCUGGAGUACGGCAGAGGGGGAUGGGAAUUCCGCGUGUAGCAGUGAAAUGCGUAGAUAUGCGGAGGAACACCGAUGGCGAAGGCAGUCCCCUGGGCCUGUACUGACGCUCAUGCACGAAAGCGUGGGGAGCAAACAGG